rnacentral:rRNA from 1 species
UGAAUACGAGACGCUAAGGCGUCGAAGUAGUGUAUAUCAGACUUCCAAGAAAAGCUUGCACUAUCAUAGAUAAAAAAUGCCUGUACCAUAACCGACACAGGUGGGUAGGUAGAGUAUACUAAGGGGCGCGAGAUAACUCUCUCUAAGGAACUCGGCAAAAUAACUCCGUAACUUCGGGAGAAGGAGUGCCUUAUUUAUAAGGUUGCAAUAACAAGAUCCAAGCAACUGUUUAUCAAAAACACAGGUCUCCGCUAAGUCGUAAGACGAUGUAUGGGGGCUGACGCCUGCCCAGUGCCAGAAGGUUAAAGAAGUUGGUUAGCAAUUGCGAAGCUGAUAACUGAAGCCCUGGUGAACGGCGGCCGUAACGAUAACGGUCCCAAGGUAGCGAAAUUCCUUGUCGGGUAAGUUCCGACCCGCACGAAAGGCGUAAUGAUUUGGAUACUGUCUCGGAGAGGGGCUCGGUGAAAUAGACUUGUCUGUGAAGAUGCGGACUACCUGCACCAGGACAGAAGGACCCUAUGAAGCUUUACUGUAACUUGAAAUUGAAAUUGGACUUUAUUCGCGCAGCAUAGGUGGGAGGCGUUGAUUAUAAUCUUGCGGGAUUAUUGGAGCCAUCAGUGAGAUACCACUCUUGUAAUGUUAGAUUUCUAACUUUGAAUCAUUAUCUGGUCAAAGAACAGUUUCAGGCGGGCAGUUUGACUGGGGCGGUCGCCUCCUAAAUGGUAACGGAGGCGUACAAAGGUUUCCUCUGAACGGUUAGAAAUCGUAUCUAGAGUGUAAAGGCAUAAGGAAGCUUGACCGUGAGACCUACAAGUCGAGCAGGGACGAAAGUCGGUCUUAGUGAUCUGACGGUACUGAGUGGAAAGGCCGUCACUCAACGGAUAAAAGUUACUCUAGGAUAACAGGCUGAUCUCCCCCAAGAGUUCACAUCGACGGGGAGGUUUGGCACCUCGAUGUCGGCUCAUCGCAUCCUGGGGCGGUAGUACGUCCCAAGGGUUGGGCUGUUCGCCCAUGAAAGCGGUACGCGAGCUGGGUUCAGAACGUCGUGAGACAGUUCGGUCCAUAUCCGGUGUAGGCGUUAGAAUAUUGAGAGGAGCCUUCUUUAGUACGAGAGGACCGAGAAGGACAUACCUCUGGUGUACCAGUUAUCGUGCCAACGGUAAACGCUGGGUAGCUAUGUAUGGAGUGGAUAACCGCUGAAAGUAUCUAAGUGGGAAGCCCACCUCAAGAUAAG